UCGAGGGGCUCGGCGAGGUCGGCGCGGCGGCGCUGACGCAGCCGGAGGUGCCCGAGGUGCCGCCGCUCGUGACCGAGGCACGGCUCUUCGAGC
rnacentral:tRNA from 1 species